CUCCAUCCUUCUCAGCUCCCUGACUGAACCAGCCCCUGUGGGAAGAGAAAGCCCCCAGGCUGAGAAUCAACUGAGCUGCAUUGAGGAGCCCCAGGUGUGUGUCCAGGAAUGCCAAGUGCAGAAGGGCUAUGCACGGGGCACCAUCAUGACCUGCUGCAGAGACCGUCCCUGAGAACAGAGGAGCAGAGAGAGAGAAGAGCAAGAGAUGGGCAAGGACAGAGUCACAAUCCCAGUGUCUGGCCCCUGCCUCCGGCCUUGUCUCAGCUAGCUCUGUCACUGGACUUUCAUUUGUC
rnacentral:lncRNA from 1 species